GACGAACGCUGGCGGCGUGCUUAACACAUGCAAGUCGAACGGAAAGGCCCUGCUUUUGUGGGGUGCUCGAGUGGCGAACGGGUGAGUAACACGUGAGUAACCUGCCCUUGACUUUGGGAUAACUUCAGGAAACUGGGGCUAAUACCGGAUAGGAGCUCCUGCUGCAUGGUGGUGGUUGGAAAGUUUCGGCGGUUGGGGAUGGACUCGCGGCUUAUCAGCUUGUUGGUGGGGUAGUGGCUUACCAAGGCUUUGACGGGUAGCCUGCCUGAGAGGGUGACCGGGCACAUUGGGACUGAGAUACGGACCAGAAUCCUACGGGAGGCAGCAGUGGGGAAUAUUGCAGAAUGGGCGGAAGCCUGAUGCAGAAACGCCGCGUGCGGGAUGACGGCCUUCGGGUUGUAAACAGCUUUCGCCUGUGACGAAGCGUGAGUGACGGUAAUGGGUAAAGAAGCACCGGCUAACUACGUG
rnacentral:rRNA from 1 species